GAGGAAGAAGGUGAAACUCAUCAUACAACAUACCAAGAUAGAUACUAACAUAGGGUCAUAGGCAUGUGGUCUCAUAUCAGAACUAAAAGGAAUAUUAGUUUGUAAGAUAAAUAGAACAAGAGAUUCAUCCUAGAAAUUUGACAUGAAGGAACUCAUUAAAAUAAUCAAAGACUGUAAAUGUAAUGAGUGAGACAUUACCAUUGUGAAGAGACAGGAUGUAAACACUGGCUAACCAUGGCAGAUGGCUCAGCCUCAACGUUUUAUAUAAUUUGUUAAGCAUAAGCCCUGAGAACGAACCUAAACCAGUAAAAUUUGUCUUAAACAUUGACCAGUAUGCAUAAUAAUAUAAAUAAUAUAUUGUUACAAAUGAUACAUGGAAUAUUUGACCAUAAUCUUGAGUACAGCCAUGACAUAUAUAUAGAGAGUAAUAAGUAAAGCUUUCAUUUUUCUGGACAAUAACUAGUUACAGUUCAACUUCAAUUAUAAGAGUUAGGUCCACAUACUGGUAUGAACAAGGAAUGAUUUCAAACCAAUACUCCGGACAGAAUUAUACAGUUUACUGCAAAUCAACAGUUAAAAACGAUAAACUACAAGACAAAAGACUCUGCACAAGAUGAGACAGGUGAACUAUAUUUUAUUUAGCCAAACUCAAGCAAUAGAAAACAAGCUCAAAUUUUAAAAGUUCAAAUAGCAACUAAAUGCAUGAAAAGGUAUGAAAUAACACCAAAGAAGUUAUAAGAUACCUUCUGCCACCAUUGAUGUAGAGAUUGACUCAAAUUGCUUUACAACUAGCAGACCAAACUCUUCACAAUGAAUGUGACUUGAAAAGAAACAAAAGGGUAAACUCUUUUGAGUAAAGACAGUAGGAUUAAAAUUAUGUUUUUCCUUAUGCAUCUUCAACAUUUACUUUCCCUUUGUACACGCUCAACAGCAGAGGCACUUUCUCAUUAUACUUGGUCACAUACUUCUCCAAGAACUUUGAUUCAACACUUUGUAUCACGCCACAAAAGCUGAUAUCUUCUAGUCUCAUCAAUCCCUUCGCCAACAAAACUUGAACAACAGAACAUCUAGGAAGUGUUCUCUUCUCAAAGUUGUAAAAGAGAACGACAGGACAGUUUGUAAUCUUUUUCGGCGACCACCCCAUUUUGUUGACUAGAAAAUCCAUUACUUUCUCUAUCUUAUUUUCAGACAUUACCAUGCAAUUCGGGUGCAUCUUAAAUGCAUUAAGAAUAUCAUCUUCAGACCAACCAAACCUCAUAUAAGCCUUAUAAUUCUGUUUCCAAGUUUUCUUAAAAGUCUUCCUAGACAUAGCGCGAAUCGCAAACAAAAAAGUGUACUUCUCUGGACAAAAUCCCAUGUUUUUAAUCUCAUCCACAAUACUACUGAAUCUCUCAGGCUUCAAGAUCAGAAUCUCAGUAAAAUGUUUCAAUGUAGAAGCUAUUUGUGAGUCAGUGAAACCUAAGUCUCUCAACAACCCAAGAUUUGUAAUCACAGAUUCCCAAUUUUUAGCUAAGGACACCCAUUGGUGUUUCGAAGCACAAACUGACACCUCACUAGGCAAGAUAGUCUUGAGUAAGUUAAAAGUAGGUUCAAUGUUCUUAUCCAAGCUUCUAUACAAAUGAUGAGGAUCAGAAGAUAUAAUACUCACCACUUCCUUCUUAGAAUACCCUUUUGAGGAGAAAAACUCAAACUUUGGCAAAAAAGUUUUAUUUGGAUCCGACAAAAGAGUCUCAGGCCGUGUCCUUACAAUUUUUGAGAUAUCGUCCUCCGAGAAUUCGUGUUCUCUCAGGAAAUCCAGAACAGAGUCAGGUCUUUCUGAGUUUUUGAGCCUUAACUUUCGGGAAACAACAAUGGCAGAUUCUGGGGACAACCCACAUGAAUUCACAAGGUAAGACACCGUAAAAGAGGUACCUUUAUCAGAUUUUUCCAGAGCAGUGGUCGCAGAUGAAGAGAAGCUUGCAGCAAAAACACCCAAAUAAGAAGUUGAGUUUGACCCAAUAACUCCAUAGCUGAGUAGUGAAGUUCUGAAUCUUGUACAGAGAGUACUAAGCAUAUCUAAUCAAAAGAUUGUGGUGGAUCGAAUUAACUACAAACGGUGUGCUUUAUGUAUAUAAAUGUGGCUUUGUUACCUCAGCAGUGCGAGGCAGAGGCAGAGGUAGAGCCAUGAGCGAGAGAGGGAAAGCGCCAGUGAAACAGCAGCUUUCAUAGUUCAUUCCACGCCUGCAGUGCUGCUCCGAGUAAAAAAAAAAGAGAGACAGCUUGUAAUUGGUUAGCUCAACAUUAC